GAAGGCACAUCCACGUCACUUCCUGUCUAAGUUCCACUCCGGACGGCUGGAUGGGGUCCAAGAUGGCGUCUCAGUAGUUGUAGAGGCGCUGGCUGGGCUGCUUGUAGCGUCUCUCCGACGGCGAGCAGCGCGUCUUGAGCAGGUUCUGCCUGGCGAGGACGCCGCGGCUCAGCUUCUUGCGCUCGGCCCGCUGGAGGCGGAGCAAUUGCAGGUUGGCGGGCAGCGGGACGCCCCACGCCGCCAGGCGCCAGGAGAUGUGCCUCCUCACUUCCACGGGCCUGCGGGGGUUUGUUAUGGCCGCGUGUCGACACUGGAACAGACCACUUCCUGUGGGAAAGAGCGUGACGUCACCUCGGAGAGUUCUCCUCAUCUUCGUCCGAGCCGUCCUCCUCUUCCUCGGCGCCACUCAUCCUGCGUCUCAUCUGGUAGACGGACAUGCUGGGGUGCUCGAUCAGCAGGUCCUCCAGGGGGUCCGCGGCAGGCGCCGACGUCAGGGGCCCGUUAUCUGUCACAGGAACAUCUUGAGUGAAAACUACAAAAAUGGUCGCCACAUCCUUUGACCUGUCAGCCCGUGGCCCUCAGAACUCCAGCAGAUCCCCAAGAACGUCAUCGCUCGCCUCGUAGUCGCCGCCGCCGCCGCCGAGCAGGUGGGAGAGGAUCUUGCCAAUCAUCGUCACGGCAACCUAUGAGACAGAUGUGUUAAAAUGUCUGUUUGUCGUGCUUUUACAAUAAAAUAUAUUCCAAGAAUAUGAAGCUUUAUUUGUG